rnacentral:rRNA from 1 species
GAUGAACGCUGGCGGCGUGCCUAAUACAUGCAAGUCGAGCGAACGGACGAGAAGCUUGCUUCUCUGAUGUUAGCGGCGGACGGGUGAGUAACACGUGGAUAACCUACCUAUAAGACUGGGAUAACUUCGGGAAACCGGAGCUAAUACCGGAUAAUAUUUUGAACCGCAUGGUUCAAAAGUGAAAGACGGUCUUGCUGUCACUUAUAGAUGGAUCCGCGCUGCAUUAGCUAGUUGGUAAGGUAACGGCUUACCAAGGCAACGAUGCAUAGCCGACCUGAGAGUGUGACCGGCCACCCUGGAACUGAGACACGGCCCAGACCCCUACGGGAGGCAGCAGUAGGGAAUCUUCCGCAAUGGGCGAAAGCCUGACGGAGCAACGCCGCGUGAGUGAUGAAGGUCUUCGGAUCGUAAAACUCUUUUAUUAGGGAAGAACAUAUGUGUAAGUAACUGUCCACAUCUUGAGGGUACCUAAUCAGAAAGCCAGGGCAAACCACGCG